rnacentral:lncRNA from 1 species
GCUCCGCUGAGGAGCCAGACGUUCCAGCCCCAUCCUCUCCUGGUCCCCGGCCGCUUGGCGGCGGCACGCGCGUGCGGGGUGACACCGCGGCGGCCCAGGAGGCGCUGCUGAGCCCCGGUCCCCGAAGCCCCGGGGCGGCGCCCCUCCGCCCGGCCGCGCUCCAGGCCCAGAUGCCGGACGCCGCGCUCAGGACACAGACCCCACUCUGCAGCAGCCUGCCGCUGCCGGCAGCCAGGGCCUCCUUCCAACUCCAGCGCAAAUUUUUCGAACGUAAGAGAAGAAUACAGUCAUUAUCGGAGGUGGAGACAUUCAGAAGUUGUUCUUAAUCAGAGUGAAGCUUGUGCUUUGGAAAGUCAGCCUCACGCCUCAGCACGCACAGCAGCUGGUUCUCCAGGUUCCUCCUGGAUGAAGAAUUAGUUUCCAGCCCCCCUUUACCCUCUGACAAGUUGGAAGGAUACGUCAGCAUCUCUUAAAAGACUAGGAAGGUCAGAUUGGGGAGGGGUAUGAGCAAAUCCUCUCUACCAAUAUGAAUUUUUGUGAAAUUCACACAAAACGGGAGGAGGUCAACAAGCUGUGGGUCCUGAAGGUUUUUUGCAUAUCUGGGUAGGAGGUUUGACCUCAAGAGAUUUCUGCUGUACACUUUUGUAACUGGUUUGACAUAUUUCGGCUCCAACUUUGCAUCCUGAGAACACUUAAACGUUUCUGCAGGCUCAUUUUAUACAACCUGAAAGAGCUUAAAAGUUUCUGGUUGCCACAAGCAUAUCUUUCUUUUCUGCACAUCCAAGAGACAGCUGUGCCCUGCUGGGAUAGAUUUUCCAAACAAAAAUACCCGGAGCAGCAGUUUGGGAAAUAUGCCUUCAGCGGCGCUCCACAGAUGGGGUUUCCGGAAGCACAGUACUAGUAUUACUGUUUGCUUAUAAAUGGACGUAUUCACUGCACAAAGACAAAUGUUCUCAUGCUGAGCAGAAGAGAGAUCUGGUGUUGCCUGGUCCUGCCGGAGCCCUCCGGCCCAUCACCUCCUGCCAGCCUUCCAUGCGUACCUUGCCAUGAAAAGGGAAAGAAGCUGUUUCCAAAUUCGUGAUGAAUCUUACAAUCAAUGGUAGUGGCUACAUGAGGAUCUCCCAUCAACUUACAACCCAGAUGCUUGCCAUUUCUGGAGCAGGCUUGCUUUUGAAUUUUCUUCUCUACUCCUCUUCUCACAAGCUCAUCUGGGACAUCUGAAUCAUGAGGGGGAGCUCAUUGCCCCAGCUUCUCAACAGUUUACCACUGCCACCAUCAGAUCACACACGCACAAAAAUCCCAUUACUAAUUUACUCUCACAAAG